rnacentral:rRNA from 1 species
UAGGGAAUCUUCCACAAUGGGCGCAAGCCUGAUGGAGCAACACCGCGUGAGUGAAGAAGGGUUUCGGCUCGUAAAGCUCUGUUGUUAGAGAAGAACACGAGUGAGAGUAACUGUUCAUUCGAUGACGGUAUCUAACCAGCAAGUCACGGCUAACUACGUGCCCG